rnacentral:rRNA from 1 species
GACGAACGCUGGCGGCGUGCCUAAUACAUGCAAGUAGAACGCUGAAGGAGGAGCUUGCUCUUCUGGAUGAGUUGCGAACGGGUGAGUAACGCGUAGGUAACCUGCCUGGUAGCGGGGGAUAACUAUUGGAAACGAUAGCUAAUACCGCAUAACAGUAGAUGUUGCAUGACAUUUACUUAAAAGGUGCAAUUGCAUCACUACCAGAUGGACCUGCGUUGUAUUAGCUAGUUGGUGGGGUAACGGCUCACCAAGGCGACGAUACAUAGCCGACCUGAGAGGGGGAUCGGCCACACUGGGACUGUGACACGGCCCAUACUCCUACGGGAGGCAGCAGUAGGGAAUCUUCGGCAAUGGACGGAAGUCUGACCGAGCAACGCCGCGUGAGUGAAGAAGGUUUUCGGAUCGUAAAGCUCUGUUGUAAGAGAAGAACGAGUGUGAGAGUGGAAAGUUCACACUGUGACGGUAUCUUACCAGAAAGGGACGGCUAACUACGUG